GGAGGCCAAGUAAAAUCUUGAGAAUUUGGACAUUUAAAGGCUAUAUAAAGGGAAGGAAUUAAGGCCACGAGAAGCUAAGAAAAUAGGAAAGAAAGCAAGUGCAACAAGAAAAUGAAAGAAAUCCAAGAAAAUGAAGGAAAGGCAAAGGCUUGACGGAAAGUGGACAGUCACAAGGAUCUGCCAUAAGAGUCUUCCAAUUGGAGAGAAAUACAAACCCAGUAAGGUCUGAAGCCUUAAACAUUCAAAUCUUGUCCAACCAAGUUGAGGUUACUUCCAAGAAAAUAUGGAAAAGUCAAAUGUUUGACUUUAGUAAAGUGGGACCCGCUAUAUUCCGAGGUAUGUGUCGGAUUAUCUCUUUGCAACUUGUGGUGUUUAAUCAAUGUCUAAUUUACC